GAUGAAGAACGUAGCGAAAUGCGAUAAGUAAUGUGAAUUGCAGAAUUCAGUGAAUCAUCGAAUCUUUGAACGCACCUUGCGCCCUUUGGCUAUUCCGAAGGGCAUGCCUGUUUGAGUAUCGUGAACACCUCAACUCUCAUGGUUUGCCAUGAUGAGCUUGGACUUUGGGGGUUUUGCUGGCCUUUGGUCGGCUCCUCUCAAACGGAUCAGCUUUCCAGUGUUUGGUGGCGUCACGGGUGUGAUAACUAUCUACGCCUGUGGUUUUCUGCCAGAUAACCUUCAGCGAUGGAGGUUCGCUGGGGCUCAUAAAUGUCUCUCUUCAGUGAGACAGCUUUUUGGACGUUUGAUCUCAAAUCAGGUAGGACUACCCGCUGAACUUAAGCAUAUCAAUAAGCGGAGGA
rnacentral:misc_RNA from 1 species